UGAUCUGGAAUCGCAGGUGAUUCUGUAGCGCAGGUGAUCUGAAAACGCAGGUUAUUCAGUAGCGCAUGUGAUAUGGAAGCGCAGGUGAUUCAGUAGCGCAGUUGAUCUGGAAGCGCAGGUGAUUCAGUAGCGCAGUUGAUCUGGAAGCGCAGGUGAUUCAGUAGCGCAGCUGAUCUGGAAGCACAGGUGAUUCAGUAGCGCAGUUGAUCUGGAAGCGCAGGUGAUUCAGUAGCGCAGGUUAUCUGGAAGCGCAGGUGAUUCAGUAGCGCAGGUUAUCUGGAAGCGCAGGUGAUUCUGUAGCGCAGGUGAUCUGGAAGCGCAGGUGAUUCUGUAGCGCAGUUGAUCUGGAAGCGCAGGUGAUUCAGUAGCGCAGGUGAUCUGGAAGCGCAGUUGAUCUAGUAGCGCAGUUGAUCUGGAAGCGCAGGUGAUUCAGUAGCGCAGCUGAUAUGGAAGCUCAGGUGAUUCAGUAGCGCAGCUGAUCUGGAAGCACAGGUGAUUCAGUAGCGCAGUUGAUCUGGAAGCGCAGGUGAUUCUGUAGCGCAGGUGAUUCAGUAGCGCAGGUGAUCUGGAAGCGCAGGUGAUUCUGUAGCGCAGGUGAUUCAGUAGCGCAGGUGAUCUGGAAGCGCAGGUGAUUCUGUAGCGCAGUUGAUCUGGAAGCGCAGGUGACUCUGUAGUGCAGGUUAUAUGGAAGCGCAGUUGAUUCAGUAGCGCAGUUGAUCUGGAAACGCAGGUGAUUCAGUAGCGCAGGUGAUCUGGAAGCGCAGGUGAUUCUGUAGCGCAGUUGAUCUGGAAGCGCAGGUGAUUCAGUAGCGCAGCUGAUAUGGAAGCUCAGGUGAUUCAGUAGCCCAGCUGAUCUGGAAGCGCAGGUGAUUCAGUAGCGCAGGUGAUCUGGAAGCGCAGGUUAUUCAGUAGCAAAAUAUUAUAAAAGAUUCAAAAGCGCAGGUUCGCACUAAUGACACACAUCCUGAAAGCUGAUAGAGUGUCACUUAAUCAAGUUCUCAGAUGUUAAACAUCAGACUCAAACUAUCAGAACUGAUCUUCUCAGACUAGCUGCCAAAAACCCAACAGGAAAUGAUGUGUUUAUCCUGCGCCGUCUACUUCAAUCACUGUAACACGUUCACAUUCACUAACCAUUAUAGAAGCCUCCUAAAUGACACUAAAUCCUAACAGUUAUGAUUUUUCCUGUUGUGAAUCAGUGACGAUGUUUCUGGCACAAGUCGUUCGUAGAAACACUUAAUUUAAAUGGAAAUAAAUGCAUAUUUUUACUCUGAUGUUUGUUGCUGCCAGUAGGAUGACAUUCAUAUUUAUAAUAUUCUUUAUUCUAGUUGUUUUGUAUCUAAAGCGCUUUAUGUUUGUCCUCAAAUCCUCACAAUCAGAAUGUGAUUCCAGAUGGAUUCUGAUGAUGAUGAUGAUGCUCUAUGAAGCUGUGUUGUAUAGUUUUGGGAUCAUAACCUCUCCAUCAAUACCUGUUAUAAAUUAUCACAUGAAACCAUUAAUAUCUUAUAUAUUUGAUUGCCUUUGUUCUAUUUAUUGAUAUUUGAAUCAGGUGUCUUGAGAUCUGAGGUUUUGUCAUGUGUGUGUGUGUGUGUGUGUGUGUGUGUGUGUGUGUGUGUGUGUGUGUGUGUGUGUGUGUGUGUGUAAAACGGCACACUGUGGACUCGAUGUUUAAAAGUGCAGUUAUACUAUUGAGCUUCAGUGAUGAUUUCGUGUGCGACUGUGACUGAAUCUACUUCACCAAUAAGACUGUCAAAUAAAUAUAAUUUAGGGAUGUUUUCUAUU